rnacentral:rRNA from 1 species
GACGAACGCUGGCGGCGUGCUUAACACAUGCAAGUCGAACGGAAAGGCCCUGCUUUUGUGGGGUGCUCGAGUGGCGAACGGGUGAGUAACACGUGAGUAACCUGCCCUUGACUUUGGGAUAACUUCAGGAAACUGGGGCUAAUACCGGAUAGGAGCUCCUGCUGCAUGGUGGGGGUUGGAAGGUUUCGGCGGUUGGGGAUGGACUCGCGGCUUAUCAGCUUGUUGGUGGGGUAGUGGCUUACCAAGGCUUUGACGGGUAGCCGGCCUGAGAGGGUGACCGGCCACAUGGGGACUGAGAUACGGCCCAGACUCCUACGGGAGGCAGCAGUGGGGAAUAUUGCACAAUGGGCGGAAGCCUGAUGCAGCAACGCCGCGUGCGGGAUGACGGCCUUCGGGUUGUAAACCGCUUUCGCCUGUGACGAAGCGUGAGUGACGGUAAUGGGUAAAGAAGCACCGGCUAACUACGUG